GACGAACGCUGGCGGCGUGCUUAACACAUGCAAGUCGAGCGGUAAGGCCCUUUCGGGGUACGACGAGCGGCGAACGGGUAGGAGUAACAACGUGGGUGGACCUCGCCCUCCAGCUCUGGGAGUAAAGACCUCGGGAAACCGGGGUACCGUAAUAACUGGAUAUGACUCCAUGACGCAUGUUGUGGGGUGGGAAAGCCUUGUGCGGCUGAGGAUGGGCCCGGCCGGCCUAUCAGCUUGUUGGUGGGGUGAUGGCCUACCAAGGCGACGACGGGUAGCCGGCCUGAGAGGGCGACCGGCCACACUGGGACUGAGACACGGCCCAGACUCCUACGGGAGGCAGCAGUGGGGAAUCUUGCGCAAUGGGCGAAAGCCUGACGCAGCGACGCCGCGUGAGGGAUGACGGCCUGG
rnacentral:rRNA from 1 species